GCAGUCGAGCGGUAGAGAGGUGCUUGCACCUCUUGAGAGCGGCGGACGGGUGAGUAAAGCCUAGGAAUCUGCCUGGUAGUGGGGGAUAACGCUCGGAAACGGACGCUAAUACCGCAUACGUCCUACGGGAGAAAGCAGGGGACCUUCGGGCCUUGCGCUAUCAGAUGAGCCUAGGUCGGAUUAGCUAGUUGGUGAGGUAAUGGCUCACCAAGGCGACGAUCCGUAACUGGUCUGAGAGGAUGAUCAGUCACACUGGAACUGAGACACGGUCCAGACUCCUACGGGAGGCAGCAGUGGGGAAUAUUGGACAAUGGGCGAAAGCCUGAUCCAGCCAUGCCGCGUGUGUGAAGAAGGUCUUCGGAUUGUAAAGCACUUUAAGUUGGGAGGAAGGGCAUUAACCUAAUACGUUAGUGUUUUGACGUUACCGACAGAAUAAGCACCGGCUAACUCUGUGCCAGCAGCCGCGGUAAUACAGAGGGUGCAAGCGUUAAUCGGAAUUACUGGGCGUAAAGCGCGCGUAGGUGGUUCGUUAAGUUGGAUGUGAAAUCCCCGGGCUCAACCUGGGAACUGCAUUCAAAACUGUCGAGCUAGAGUAUGGUAGAGGGUGGUGGAAUUUCCUGUGUAGCGGUGAAAUGCGUAGAUAUAGGAAGGAACACCAGUGGCGAAGGCGACCACCUGGACUGAUACUGACACUGAGGUGCGAAAGC
rnacentral:rRNA from 1 species